CCACCAUCUAGCCCCCCUGGCCCCCUCAUGCCUCCAUAAAUAUAGCAAAAUCUUACUGUACUCAAGCCUGAAGCUGUAGAUAUGCAUGCUGUUAGACUCAGACAAACAAGCAGUCUGCUGACAUCAUCAGAAGUGGUAGCCUGAUCCAAUCACAAUGCUUCCCCAUAGGAUUGGCUGAGACUGACAGGGAGGCAGAUCAGGGGCAGAGCCAGCAUGAUUCAAACACAGCCCUGGCCAAUCAGCAUCUCCUCAUAGAGAUGAAUUGAAUCAAUGAAUC
rnacentral:lncRNA from 1 species